UAUGUAUAUGUAAGGGUAGCAGUAGAUGAUUUGUGUUAAUUAUGUAAAGUUUUUUUUAAAGUGUAAUUAAUAUCCUUUUGUCAGAUUUGUUUAGUGGGAUGUUGAAAUUAUUUUACCAUCUUAUUAGUCCACAUUGGAAAUUAACGCUAAAUCUUUUUUGCAUAUAUAAGUCGUCUUAAGACACUAUAAGAUAGUCAAAAAAUAUAUUAAAUAUUUUCUUUAUGUUGAAAUUAAAAAGACAAAAAAAUCUGAUUCUUUAGUAUUAUUAAAAAAUCAGAUAGUGAAAGUAAAAAGACAAAAACUCUGCCGACAUCUUCAUUUUCUCCGUAACUUCUCUCAAAUUAGAAAAGCAAUCGCUCUCCUCGUUGUUUCCGAUUCGAAGAUCUCCCAAAAAAAAUCAGAAGGAGUAAUCUCAUUUCUUGUUCAUCUCUGUGUGUUAUAAAAGAGUAAAAGCUCACAGAGUAAAAGAGAGUUUCGAAAACUUAUAGCUUUGAAUGAUAAGCACUGAGAUCUCAGAUCUGUUCAGAUCUUGUUGAUAACUUGGAUCGAAGAGGAAGUGAAAGAUCAUAAAAGCAUUGAAACAGAAGCUUUAAAAGUCGGUAGAUUCACAGAGGAUUUGACCAUACCCAAUAUCUAGAGCUGAAGGCAAAAUCUUGUGAACAAACAUGUUCAUGGAGUUGUGAAAAUCUCAGCUCCAUGAAUCCUCUCAUAUGUCCAUAACGAUCUCUGCAUUUCCAACACGAUCUCUGCCCUUCCAGCGUGAUAAGUGGUUGUCGAUUGUAUCAUAAGAAGAGUUGGAAGACAACCAAAGAUUUCUUAUCAAUGUGAGAUUGGAAUGAUUUCGAAGAGUCUGAAGACGAUGUGAAUCAAUCAAAGACUACAGACUUCAUUCUCCUAUGAAGGAAAACAUGACUUCAAUAUAAAAGAUAAGUUCUUUUCAGAAAGUUUGUCUUUUUUACAUUAACUAUAAUAUAUCUGCCGAUAUUCCCUAUAAGUUUUUCUUUCAUCUAUUCAUCCACGAAAGUCAUAUUAAAUAUUUGGAAAAUAUCGACUUUAGACUUAAUGUUGUUUUCUAAUUGAACAGCACAAAGCUGACAGUUGAAUAAUGAUGAAGGCCAUGAGGCAAAGUCUAUAAAAAACCUUGCAGUUCACAGAUAAGUCUCGGACUAUAGGUUUAUUUGGUUGAUUUAGAAAUGAGAAACGGUAUAUGUUUUACCGUUUAGUGAGUUGACUUAAUUAAAUAUACAAUUGAUGUACAGGUGGUGCAGUCUGUUGUACACAACAUGAGAUUUACACAGUAGCUCGAGCAGUCAAAGGUUUAGAGACAGAAGCUUUAUUCAUUUGAAGGACAUGGGACAAAGACAUGACUGCAAAGAAAUACAAACCCAAGCAGAAUGGAGAGUGUCGGUUAACUUGCCCCAAAUACAGCAUGGUAUUCUUGAAUCACUAACUCACAAGUAAAAAAAGCGAGAUAUGGUUUGUUGUGCGAUAUGCUCCUCCAGCAGGCCUGACUUGGAAGUUUCUGAUGUUGCGCCAUACUCCAACCAGAAGAAGUCUUCCUUUACUCUCAAAGAAUGUAGAACCUUGACAUGAACCAUCUUAGUAGUGUGCUUUGGCUUCAAGUCGCUGAGGGCGGUGAUUUGUUCAGUAGAAUCAUUUGCUGUGUUGGUGAGCGCUUUAGAAGCCAUUAUUUUGGUUUUGCGGUAUGAGUGUUUUAGCAAGAGGCGUGGGUAUUUAUAAUAGGAAGAAGUUAUAGGAAGAGUAGAUUAGGUUAUUUGAAAACUUGUAGGCUAGUCAAAAUAUUUUCGAGAUCUUUAUCGUUAAUAAGUACUAAAUGCAGUUACCAGAAAUGUUUAAAAUAUAUUCUGUGAGUAAGUUACACGCAAUCUAGAUUAUAGGAAGAUAUUUAUGAA